UACGAAGGGUGCAAACGUUGCUCGGAAUUAUUGGGCGUAAAGCGCACGUAGGCGGCUUUGCAAGUCGGAUGUGAAAUCCCUCGGCUUAACCAAGGAAGUGCAUCCGAAACUGCAGAGCUUGAGUACUUAAGAGGAUCGCGGAAUUCCCGGUGUAGAGGAGAAAUUCGUAGAUAUCGGGAGGAACACCAGUGGCGAAGGCGGCGAUCUGGGAAGAUACUGACGCUGAGGUGCGAAAGCGUGGGGAGCAAACAGG
rnacentral:rRNA from 1 species